UGGGAAGUAGCAUGAAGGGCGUGCGACGGGCCGUUAACCCGUAGGUAGAGGUUCGAUUCCUCUCUUCCCAGCCA
rnacentral:tRNA from 1 species